UACGAGGGGGGCGAGCGUUGUUCGGAAUUAUUGGGCGUAAAGGGCGCGUAGGCGGUUGGAUAAGUCUCGUGUGAAAUCUUCGGGCUCAACUCGAAGUCUGCACGAGAAACUAUCUGGCUUGAGUGUGGGAGAGGUGAGUGGAAUUCCUGGUGUAGCGGUGAAAUGCGUAGAUAUCAUGAGGAACACCUGUGGCGAAAGCGGCUCACUGGACCACAACUGACGCUGAGGCGCGAAAGCUAGGGGAGCAAACAGG
rnacentral:rRNA from 1 species